CAGUAAGGGAUGGAGUGUCCCACUGGGGGCACCAGUAAGGGAUGGAGUGUCCCAGGGGGGAACUGGGGGAGCUGGGGGCACUGGGACCCCCAGUAAGGGAUGGAGUGUCCCGGGGGGGAACUGGGGGCACCAGUAAGGGGUAGAGUGUCCCACUGGGGGCACCAGUAGGGGGAGAAGUGUCCCAGUGGGGGAACUGGGGGCACUGGGAAGGGGUGGAG